GACGAACGCUGGCGGCGUGCCUAAUACAUGCAAGUCGAACGCAUUUUCUUUCACCGUAGCUUGCUACACCGAAAGAAAAUGAGUGGCGAACGGGUGAGUAACACGUGGGUAACCUGCCCAUCAGCGUGGGAUAACACUUGGAAACAGGUGCUAAUACCGCAUAAUUCCAUUUACCGCAUGGUAGAUGGAUGAAAGGCGCUUUUGCGUCACUGAUGGAUGGACCCGCGGUGCAUUAGCUAGUUGGUGGGGUAACGGCCUACCAAGGCUGCGAUGCAUAGCCGACCUGAGAGGGUGAUCGGCCACACUGGGACUGGGACACGGCCCAGACUCCUCCGGGAGGCAGCAGGAGGGAAUCUUCGGCAAUGGACGCAAGUCUGACCGAGCAACGCCGCGUGAGUGAAGAAGGGUUUCGGAUCGUAAAACUCUGUUGUUAGAGAAGAACAAGGAUGAGAGUGGAAAGUUCAUCCCUUGACGGUAUCUAACCAGAAAGCCACGGCUAACUACGUG
rnacentral:rRNA from 1 species